rnacentral:misc_RNA from 1 species
GUGAAUCAUCAAAUCUUUGAACGCAAAUUGCACUCUCUGGUAUUCCGGAGAGUAUGUCUGUUUGAGGGUCAGUAUAAUCAACAUCGGUGCGGUGCCUUUUGGGUGAAGCUCCGGAGUUUGGGUCAUCUUAACUCUUUAAGAGAACUAAAUUUAACUUUUUUUUUUUUCUCAUUUUGAUAUGUACAUAAUUUUUUUUAUCCGUUUACCCUGGUGGCAAA